AUUUUAUGAACAUAAUGAAGUUUUUUGUGAUGCUGGUGUCUGUAUUUUUGUUCCACUUUUUUUUUAAAUCUAGUUUCAAAUUAUGUUUCUUGUAUACAACAUAUUCAAAAUUAUGCUGACAAUUGCCUUAAAAAUACUCUUGUAUACACGGAUGCUCUUUCUUUUCCUCUAUGAUUGGUUCCUCAUUUCACAUUCUCUUUGAAAUUAACUUUGUUUAGCUUUUCAAUUUGGUUGCUUAAAUUUGAAUUUGCUCAAAUUAAAGAAAAUUGUCUCAUCAGACAAAUCUGAAAAACAAGAUCCAAAAUUUCCCUUGGAAAUAAAAGAAUAAAAGAG
rnacentral:misc_RNA from 1 species